rnacentral:misc_RNA from 1 species
UGGGGCAAAGCAGACAACAAUGG